AUUUACACUAAUUAAAGUUAAUAGUCGUUGAUUAACUUAACCAUAACUACCAUUCAGGUUAAAUGAAAAAAAAAAUUUACUAAAGAGAUAUUGCUUACAAUAGAACGCAUUUACCCGUCUAAAUACACUUAUUAUUUUUUAGUAAAGUAGAGCUUUUAAAUUGUUGUGAACAAAAUUUGUAAAGUUAAACUUUAGUGGUAAUGUAUUGGCUGUUUAAAUCUGAAGAGAAAGAGUUCAGUGUCGAGGAUUUCUUCAAAGAGCCUGACUUAACUACAGAAUGGGACGGAAUUAGAAAUUACCAAGCGAGAAAUUACUUAAAAAAGGAUGUGAGGAAAGGCGACCUUGGCUUUUUUUAUCAUAGUAACUGUAGAAUGCCUGCUAUUGUUGGUAUCGUUGAAGUUGUUGCAGCAGCCUAUCCCGAUCAUUCACAGUUUAAACCUGAUAGCCGUUAUUAUGAUCCAAAAAGCAAUCGAGCAAAUCCUCGUUGGUUCUCCAUAAAAAUCAAACUUUUAAAAAAGCUAAAUAAAGCAAUUCCACUAGCAACUUUGAAAAGUUAUUCUAACGCUGAACUAAAAAAUAUGGCUC